GACGAACGCUGGCGGCGGGCUUAACACAUGCAAGUCGAACGGAAAGGCCCUGCUUUUGUGGUGUGCUCGAGUGGCGAACGGGUGAGUAACACGUGAGUAACCUGCCCUUGACUUUGGGAUAACUUCAGGAAACUGGGGCUAAUACCGGAUAGGAGCUCCUGCUGCAUGGUGGGGGGUGGAAAGUUUCGGCGGUUGGGGAUGGACUCGCGGCUUAUGAGCUUGUUGGUGGGGUAGUGGCUUACCAAGGCUGUGACGGGUAGCCGGCCUGAGAGGGUGACCGGCCACAUGGGGACUGAGAUACGGACCAGACUCCUACGGGAGGCAGCAGUGGGGAAUAUUGCACAAUGGGCGGAAGUCUGAUGCAGCAACGCCGCGUGCGUGAUGACGGCCUUCGGGUUGUAAACCGCUUUAGCCUGUGACGCAGCGUGAGUGACGGUAAUGGGUAAAGAAGCACCGGCUAACUACGUG
rnacentral:rRNA from 1 species